AGCCUGAACUUUCUCAUCCAACACCUGUUCAAGUCGGAGGAUGCUGAUUAAUUCAUGAUGGAAAGGUAUCAAUUUCACAGCCCAGACCUCUACAUUCUUGAAAUGCUCUUCUCAUGGGAGACAUUAAAUAAGCUUUGAAUUAACUGAAGAACCAAUGAUGUGAUCCCUGGAUACUGGCAAUUGUUGCCCAAGAAACCCUCUCCCCUUGCUAUGGGAGUGCUGGGCACCCAAAUAAUGCACCCAAAUAAUUUGAUAGCUCUUGUUACACAACUCUUCUUGGACUAAAAGGCCCUCAGCAUUCCUGUCAAUUUCUACACUCCUGAAGCUUCAUCUGGAGACCUCUGUGGAUUCUAUAACUCAAAGACCCAGGCUGACGGCUGGUGGAAUAGCUACCAUCUCAAACAUGGCGUGAUGCUGCAUCAGAGAGAAAAAUAAGCUCUUGCAUUGACAAUGAAAUGUCUACCCUGUAGUGACUUGUGCUUACUUCCACUCACAAGUGAUUGCCCAGAGCUACUUACCUGGCUCCAAUCUACCACUGGGUCAGACGUUUGCUGAAUUCAGUUCUGAGCUUUUGAACCAAAAGCAGAUCUUCAGAACAAGAAACAAGAUAAUAAAAGAGAAACAUGAAGAAACUGAAGAUGAUUGGAGAAAUAUGAAUCAAGAUGAUUAGACCUAGCAGAGGGCUGGCUGGAUGGCAUUUAUGUUGACAGUGGACUCCUACACAGAGGAUGAUCAU
rnacentral:antisense_RNA from 1 species